rnacentral:rRNA from 1 species
GGGGAGCUCUGCAGUCGACGAUGACCACUUCGGUGGGGAUUAGUGGCGAACGGGUGAGUAACACGUGGGCAAUCUGCCCUGCACUCUGGGACAAGCCCUGGAAACGGGGUCUAAUACCGGAUACUGACCCUCGCAGGCAUCUGCGAGGUUCGAAAGCUCCGGCGGUGCAGGAUGAGCCCGCGGCCUAUCAGCUUGUUGGUGAGGUAAUGGCUCACCAAGGCGACGACGGGUAGCCGGCCUGAGAGGGCGACCGGCCACACUGGGACUGAGACACGGCCCAGACUCCUACGGGAGGCAGCAGUGGGGAAUAUUGCACAAUGGGCGAAAGCCUGAUGCAGCGACGCCGCGUGAGGGAUGACGGCCUUCGGGUUGUAAACCUCUUUCAGCAGGGAAGAAGCGAAAGUGACGGUACCUGCAGAAGAAGCGCCGGCUAACUACGUGCCAGCAGCCGCGGUAAUACGUAGGGCGCAAGCGUUGUCCGGAAUUAUUGGGCGUAAAGAGCUCGUAGGCGGCUUGUCGCGUCGGUUGUGAAAGCCCGGGGCUUAACCCCGGGUCUGCAGUCGAUACGGGCAGGCUAGAGUUCGGUAGGGGAGAUCGGAAUUCCUGGUGUAGCGGUGAAAUGCGCAGAUAUCAGGAGGAACACCGGUGGCGAAGGCGGAUCUCUGGGCCGAUACUGACGCUGAGGAGCGAAAGCGUGGGGAGCGAACAGGAUUAGAUACCCUGGUAGUCCACGCCGUAAACGGUGGGCACUAGGUGUGGGCAACAUUCCACGUUGUCCGUGCCGCAGCUAACGCAUUAAGUGCCCCGCCUGGGGAGUACGGCCGCAAGGCUAAAACUCAAAGGAAUUGACGGGGGCCCGCACAAGCGGCGGAGCAUGUGGCUUAAUUCGACGCAACGCGAAGAACCUUACCAAGGCUUGACAUACACCGGAAAGCAUCAGAGAUGGUGCCCCCCUUGUGGUCGGUGUACAGGUGGUGCAUGGCUGUCGUCAACUCGUGUCGUGAGAUGUUGGGUUAAGUCCCGCAACGAGCGCAACCCUUGUCCCGUGGUGGCCACCAGGCCCUUGGGGUGCUGGGGAACUCACGGGAAAACCGCCGGGGUCAAAUCCGAAGGAAAGUGGGGGACGACGUCAAAGUCUUCAUUGCCCCUUAUGGUCUUGGGCUGGCCACCGUGGCUACAAAUGGCCCGGUACAAAUGAACUUGCGAUACCCGCCAGGGUGGAAGCGAAACCUCAAAAAGCCCGGUUCCAAUUCCNGAAUGGGGGGCUUCGAACCUCACCCCCCUGGAAAGUCCGAGAUCCCCUAGGAAUCCGGAAAUACCCAUUUUGCGCGGGGUAAAACAUUUUCCCGCGGCCUUUUUUACACACGCCGCCCUUAAACUCUCAAGAAAUUCUUGUACACCCCCCAGGAACCGGGUGGCCCCCACCCUCUUUUGGGGGAAGGGACUGUUCCCAAAGGUGGGGUUCCCGGCACUGGGGGGGGAAUNGUUUUCCUCAAGAAGGUAA